rnacentral:sRNA from 12 species
CCCUGACAGUCGCAUAGGGCGACUGACUAACCCAAGACAGGAGAUCAACAUG